GCCAGACUCCUACGGGAGGCAGCAGUGGGGAAUAUUGCACAAUGGGGGAAACCCUGAUGCAGCGACGCCGCGUGAGUGAAGAAGUAUUUCGGUAUGUAAAGCUCUAUCAGCAGGAACGAGACAAGACGGUACCUGACUAAGAAGCCCCGGCUAACUACGUGCCAGCAGCCGCGGUAAUACGUAGGGGGCAAGCGUUAUCCGGAAUCACUGGGUGUAAAGGGAGCGUAGACGGCUGUGCAAGCCUGAAGUGAAAGGCGGGGGCCCAACCCCUGGACUGCUUUGGGAACUGUACGGCUGGAGUGCAGGAGAGGUAAGUGGAAUUCCUAGUGUAGCGGUGAAAUGCGUAGAUAUUAGGAGGAACACCAGUGGCGAAGGCGGCUUACUGGACUGUAACUGACGUUGAGGCUCGAAAGCGUGGGGAGCAAACAGGAUUAGAUACCCUCGUA
rnacentral:rRNA from 1 species